rnacentral:rRNA from 1 species
UACGUAGGGGGCUAGCGUUGUCCGGAUUUAUUGGGCGUAAAGCGCACGUAGGCGGAUUGCUAAGUCAGGGGUGAAAUCCUGGAGCUCAACUCCAGAACUGCCCUUGAUACUGGCGGUCUCGAGUCCGGGAGAGGUGAGUGGAACUGCGAGUGUAGAGGUGAAAUUCGUAGAUAUUCGCAAGAACACCAGUGGCGAAGGCGGCUCACUGGCCCGGUACUGACGCUGAGGUGCGAAAGCGUGGGGAGCAAACAGG